rnacentral:tRNA from 1 species
GCGACCGUAGUUCAACUAGUGAGAGCGCUGGAGUACCAAUCUGGAGGUCGUGGGUUCGGAUCCCGCCGGCUGUC